GACGAACGCUGGCGGCGUGCUUAACACAUGCAAGUCGAACGGUAAGGCCCCAGCUUGCUGGGGUACACGAGUGGCGAACGGGUGAGUAACACGUGGGUGACCUGCCCCGCACUUCGGGAUAAGCCUGGGAAACUGGGUCUAAUACCGGAUAGGACCGCACCGUGAGGGUGUGGUGGAAAGUUUUUCGGUGUGGGAUGGGCCCGCGGCCUAUCAGCUGGUUGGUGGGGUAAUGGCCUACCAAGGCGGCGACGGGUAGCCGGCCUGAGAGGGUGGACGGCCACAUUGGGACUAAGGGACGGCCAAGUGUGGUAGGGGGGAAAGAGGGGGGAAGGAUGAAACAGGGGGGGGGAGCGUGUGGAGGAGGCCGCGGGGGGGGAAUGCCGGCUUGGGGGUGAUAAACUCCUUUCACCGACGACAAGGUUUUUCUGAGGUUAGAUGGAGAAAAAGCACCGGCUAACUCCGUG
rnacentral:rRNA from 1 species